AUUGAACGCUGGCGGCAGGCUUAACACAUGCAAGUCGAACGAUGAACUGGCAGCUCGCUGCUGGGGAUUAGUGGCGAACGGGUGAGUAACACGUGAGUAACCUGCCCUGGACUCUGGGAUAACCCCGAGAAAUCGGAGCUAAUACCGGAUAGGACCCUGUACCGCAUGGUGUGGGGUGGAAAGUUUUUUCGGUCUGGGAUGGACUCGCGGCCUAUCAGCUUGUUGGUGAGGUAAUGGCUCACCAAGGCGUCGACGGGUAGCCGGCCUGAGAGGGUGACCGGCCACACUGGGACUGAGACACGGCCCGGACUCCUACGGGAGGCAGCAGUGGGGAAUAUUGCACAAUGGGCGCAAGCCUGAUGCAGCAACGCCGCGUGCGGGAUGACGGCCUUCGGGUUGUAAACCGCUUUUAGUAAGGAAGAAGGGGAGCUUGCUCCUUGACGGUACUUGCAGAAAAAGGACCGGCUAACUACGUGCCAGCAGCCGCGGUAAGAC
rnacentral:rRNA from 1 species